AUAAAAACAGAAAAAUGGCGACGGUCACGUUGUGGCGAGCCUUGCUGCGUCAUUAGAUAAUCCUCAUGCAAAUAGCGGGAAGAACAAAGGAAGGGGGGCCCGGGACCCCCGGGGGCGCAGGAUCCGGCGGGAGGAGUCUGCGAGGAGGAGGCGGAGGACGAGGAGGAGGAGGGAGGGAGGAGAGAGGAAGACCGGAGUCCCCGCGGCGGCGGCGGGGAGCCCCGCGCGGCUCCCGGGGACCGGGCGCUGCCACGAGGCCGGGACGCUGGACGCUGGGGAAUCUUCGCUCACGCUGCUACCCUCACGCCAGCUGCCAGCUCCUCGGAGGAGGACCACACCUGUGCCUGUUCCCGCUUUGGAGGAGAGGUGAGCUGAGAAACCGGGGAAUCCUCUGUUCCCCAGAGCUCCUAGCUAACCCCCGUCCCAGAAUUGGCCAAAAAGUGCUGCUUUCACCUGCUGACGGCUUUGGGGCCCCUCUUCCCUCCACCCUGGCAAGUUGUGGUCUACAGAUGUGUUGGGAUUUCUUUUCCCCCUGGACCUGCACCCCGCCAACUAGCGACUCACUGCUGGGUUUAGAUUGAGAGAGAGCGGUGACCCACUUCAGCCCGGUGCGCCUUCUUUCUUCCCCACUGUGUCUUCUGUUGGAAUCCUCUGCUUUCCCCCACCGCCCCUUCAUUCUGCCCCUAAGAGCUUAGCCCAGAAUCAGGCCUAAGCAGCCCGUCUCUGGCUCUCUUCCGUGGGCCCCACCCUGGCCCCUCUUGGUUCUAAAGAGCCAAACACGCCUUCCAGGCAGAAGGCACACCCAGCCCCAAAUCUAACCAUUCCAAAAGGGAGGAGGGAACCAUGGAAGCCAAGGGACCCAGGGGUCUCAUUUCUGUCCUGGAUAUCCCCAACAGCAUUUCCCUCUUCAGGCCUCCUAGAGUUAUAAUCGCCUGAUUCUUACCAGCUGUUGCUCCCACCCUCUUUGCCCCUAGUGCUGUGAUAGAUAUUUGGGGAGGUGGGGUUGAGGGUUGGAGAAAAAGGUGGUCACCCUUCUUGCCUAGAGGGAGGCAUUUCCUUCUCCCAGUCUUUUCAUUUUCGAGAUGGUUAGUAAGUAAAAUAUGUAAAUAUGUUUGCAUGCUUAUUUGAACGUGUUUUCUUGCUGGCUAGUGAAUAGCUGGGACUCAAAAGGGAGGUAGGGGGAAGGAGACAAAAAUGAACAUUCCCCCUGGUUUCCCCAUGAGCAUCCCCAGAGCUGCUGGAGAAGACCCUUCUGUAAAAGCCAGCAGUCUCCCUUCCAUGACAUCACCACCUAAGCCCUUCCAACUUUAGCUUCAGAACAGGAAGAAAGCUCAAAAUAGAACCACCUUAGGAAUCCAGCUCCUUUAGAAGAUCAACUUUUCAAUCAGCGGCCGGAGGAACACUGAACUUUGACACAGGGAGAGAAAGCUGUAGUGUUUGUAAUUGGUUCCUUUGGGAAGGGUGGGGGGUGCUUUCUAUGUACUUUCAGAAAAGCUUUUCUCAAGAUAACUUAGGUACCUAGACCAAUGAAUGAUUAAUAGGAUGUUGGAAAUACGUUUAUUGAAUUAUUCAUAUGUUUCAGUAUGUCAACAAUAACAAGCACUUUUCAGAUUGAAAUAAAGAGGCUGCCGGAAUGUGCUCUAGAGAGGCUGCUAGAGAGGAGGAGGUCGUGGGGGGAGCUAGGAGGGAGCACUGGAGGGAAGCGAAGAGUCUGAGGAUGCAGCGAGCGCUGCCGUGAGUGUGGAAGUUGGGAGGCUCCUUGUAAACAAUGACUGUAACUUUCACGGGGUGACUAAUAUCCUGGACGAAGACGUGACGAUGUCAGGAUUUUCCACCUUUACCAAAGAAAUGAACUCCGUGUCUUUGAAUCUCAGUGCCUCCGUUCUUUCCCUGAGUUGAGAUGAGCCUUUCUCUCUGAGCUAAAAGAGUUGUUCCGUCUUUGGGAAGGGCUGUUUGGUAAAUGAUCAUCACUGAAGGAUUGACAGCGGGGCGGAAAGCCCCUGGGGGUACUGUAGAAGGACUUGCUGGCUGAAAGGGUAACGUCUUUUAAUGUGGCUCAGGCUUAAAAGGAUCCAGGGGGGUAGAGACAGGGUUGUCUGCACCUGCAUUAAUAUGGUACCCACUAGCUACGUGUGGCCAUCAGCCACUGAAAUCUGGCUAUGGUGAGGAGGAGCUGACUUUCAAAUUUAUUUAAUUCUUAAAAUUGAUACUUGAUUAAUUAUUGGAAAACUUAAAUAUGUUUGAAAACAACUUGAGCGUGUGCGUCUGCUUUUUAAACUGUAAAUGUUAUAAAGUCUAAAUACAGAUUAAAGAUUUCUGAUGAAAGUUUAGUGUUCAAAUUGCUAUGUGUUGUGAGUGUAAAAUACACCCUGGAUUGCAAAGACUGAGGACAAAAAAAGAAAGUAAAAUAUCUCAUGAAUAAUUUUUGUAUUGGUAACAUAUUCAAAUGGUAAUAUUUGGGAUAUAUCGAGUUAAAUGAAACAUUGUUAAAGUUAAUUUCACCUGUUUCUUUUUUAAUUUUUCUAAAACGUGGCUAUUUAGAAUAUUUAAAUGACAUGUGUAGCUUGCAUUUUACUUCUUUUGGACAGUGCUGGUGUAGAACAUCGCUCCUUUUGAUCCAGGGGUUAAUUUUAAAAGAGAUGACUGCAUGAAAUCCAGUUAUUUCGUGUUCGUCGACCAUCUCCUUUCCUCUGCUAUUUUCCACAUGGAGAUUUGGGGACCCCAAGAAUUAUUAUCACAGUGCAUGAGACCUAAUGGUGACCCCUUUCUGGAUCCUAUGCAGGAAGUGUGCCCUACUCAGGACGGUCAAUAAAAAUGUGCAGGGUGCGACAAGGGCUAGUGGGGGCAUCAUGGGAAAAUCUCGGUACCUACACAUCUGGCUAUGGCUGCGUUUGUCAAAGGCUCCUGGGCAUAACUAGGAUGUAUCAGAAGAGUGGGUAGGUAGCUCAGUAACUGUUGGGACACCUGGUGGCAUCUUAGUGAUUCCACUCACCACUCACCUUUGUUUAUUUUCUCUUCCUCCUUCAUUUACUUUCUAACUCCUCUUCCCCAUCGUAGCUCCACUGAAGGUGAUAGGGCCCACAAGGUUGCUGACCUCUUUCCUCUGAAAAAAAGUAUAUUGCUGACCUGACUAGAGAUAAUGCUUUCUUCGGGGUUUGGUUUGGUCUAAUGAGAUUCACUAAUGGCACUGGAAGGGUCUUAGGGGCCAUUUAGUACUCCCCCCUCAUUCUGUAGAUGACAGGCUGUCAAGUACCUGACCUAGGACCACACCGACAGAGGCUGGGAUUAAACAUACACUUGUUGAUAACCUGUGUAGAGAACCUGGGAAAUGAAGUGGUUCAUCAGUUGAUUGAGCAAAUAUUUGUUGAGCCUGCUCUUUGUGGAAAGGACGGUGACUAGUGUUGAGAAGAGACAUGAAGAAAACAGUCUCUGAGUUUAGGAACGGGACUAUGGAUUUGAGGAAAUGAGGUAAACAGUGCCAAAUUAAAUGACGGGAUAAGAGGCAGCACUUAAUAAUGGGCGCAGAACCACUGUGGUGUGGGUUCCAAGUGGAAAUGGGUUCAUUUGCAGUCCCUGUUCAUGAGGAAUAGAAGCUUUUGGAAUGGUGGACUCUUCAGAAAAGACGAGUGUGAUUGUGCUUCUGGAAUGGCCCGAAGCUCUAGAGUCGGAGGUCAGUGCAGGUCUGUGGUCCCCGCCGGCCCCCCAUAGCUGUCUAUUAAGGGAAUCUGAGAAUCGAAGACCCAGCAUUUUUCAGUGGCGGUGCUGCAGUGCUGAGGAAGUCAGAGAUGAAUUAGACAGUCAGGGUUUUCAGAGAUGGUUAGCUAGGGGUGGAUCAUUUGGACUAGUUAUCUAAAAGGUAUACUGCAGAGGUGAAAUCAGAAUAAAACUGACUUGUGAGCAGACUAGAACACCCGAGAUCUGGGGGCGGAAAUGGAACCCAGAGCAAAAUCAUGGAGUAGACAGUUGGACUGAAAGUGUGUGUGCUGAGUGUGUGUGUAAGGGAAGAGGCCCACAUGAUAGAAUGGAUGGGCUGGUCCAUUUAUUUGUAAAUUUUUUGUCUCCUGGAGCCUUUUUCUCCUGAAACCCCUGUCAACAAGAGUGAGAAAGCUUGUUCCUCUUUCCCUCCCUUCAUUAUCAUGUACAUGGCUGCUGUGAUAGGGGUUUUCCUCCAGAUGGACCUACUAAGCGUAUCCAGCGUGAGACCAGUUAGAGGCCAGUGCUCAAAGUGGGUAAAACAGGGACACGUUUUUAUCAUUACUUUGUAAUUACUCUCAGUCAAUGCUUCUCCGCAGAACUGGGAUAAAGUUUGCACAGGACAGUGGUCCUUGGCUUUUUAUUGCGUUUUUAGCAAAUUUCUUUCUCCUUAAAAAAGAAAGAAAUCUGUAACCCCCUCCCUCCUGGUUUCCUUCUUAAUCUUUGGCAUAAGUUAGCUUUUAAACACUUAGUAUAGUAAAGGUUUGCAAUAAAAUACAGGUAUACAUUCUCUGUACUUCUGACAAAGCAGUAGUUGACAUUUGAGCAUCUUUUGUUGACAGUACGUUUUUAUAACAUCACACUUUGGUCAAAUUUGCACAUUUUAUAAUGUCACUGAGUGGGAUUAUGGCUUUCAAGUAGGAAAAAAAAUCACACUUUAGUUAAAGAAUGGUGGAUUUAAAUAAACCUAUUUAAAUUAUUUUAGUUUUUAAGUAUUUUCAAAUAUUUUGCAUUGCCAGCAGCUUGCAAUGGUACCUCCAGACAUUUAAUAUAUAAUGAGACACUUAAAGGUUCAAAACCAUCUUUUCAUUUUCAAUCCCUAGAGAAGAGGGCUGUGACAUGUUUUGUGUGUACAUUUCUACUCUACAAGAUUUAAAAGCAAGUUCUUUAGUAUGCUACUUUAACAGAAGUACUCGAUUUUCUAGCUAAUAAUAUUUGGUGCGUGCAUCACGAAGAAAUUGUUCUCAGUUGUAUCAUUUUGAUCAUGGAAGAACUGAAUUUCGUAUCAAUUUGAUCUCUGGAGGAAAACAUUUAACAUCGCUAUUUUCUUUUUCUCUCUCUUAGAUUUCAGGAUACACUCAGACUGUAGCAUGAGCACCUGCGGUCCUUUGUUUUAAAAUAAAAACAAUUUGAUUUUUAUUUAAAAAAAACUAUUGCAAAAGAAAUGUUUCUGAUAGAUUUGGUUUUUUAAAAAUGCACAUUUAUAAAGAAUAAUUUCCAAGAAGAAACAAAACUUACAUUUUUGAAGUGUUUAUUUAUUAGUAUUUAUAAAAUAUAAUUCUGAAAACCUAUUUUUUCUUCCUUAAAACAGCUUUAGAAUUACUCUGAAAGAAUAUUAAUUUAAGUAACUGUUCACAGAAUAAUGACAAUUUGCUUUUUCUUACUUGGUCUUUUGGCACCCUCCUGCCCCCAUUUAGAUAGAAAAAAGUGAAAUGAGAGAAGAAUAAGAAAAUAAAGGCAAUAUCCUUUGGUUAUCGUACCAAAAAUGUUUAGUUGUGUGGCUUUGGUCGUGGCUAACAGAGUGAAUUUCAGCUUUGCGAUGCGGUACUGACGUUGCCUAGUUCAUAUUGAGACUUUCAGUUGCGCUGGUACUCAGUCUUAGUGAAGGACAGUCUGAUGACUGCCAAGUGUCUCAGGCUUGCUUAUCUGUCCCCAGCCUUACCCAGCCUCCAGGAUCUCAGAGUGAGUAUACCUCUUUCCAAAGCCGACACAACUUGUGGCCAGCAAAUGUUAGGUGGUAAUCUUUUUAUCCUUUUUGAUGGAUCAGCUAUCUAAAAUUUAAUUCUCAAAUAAUCACAGUAUCUUUGUUCAUGUAACAGAUGUUUAUAAUUUGGGUGAAAAUAUGCAACUAUUUCCAGGAAACUUAAGUUAGGGGGAAUCCAACUUUUUUUUUAAUCUUCGUUGCCCUCUCCUGUUUCAACUCUGUAUUACAUCAGCUGGCUCAGACGGAGCCAGUGACUUCCUUAUCUUUUAGAUAUUUUCGCACUUCAGAGAAUGUUGUUUUAAUUGGUGUGUAGGUGGAUGUUUCGUUGGAUAUGACUUUUCUGAAGAUAAGGUCAGUUUCGUAGUGCGUGGAGUUCAUAGUUGAGCUCGACUCACCGUACUCUCUUAUUUUUUGACUCUUGAUCUGAAGAACUGAUUCAUCUAUCUGACUUAUUUGAAGUACAGUGCUGAUAUCUAAUUUGCAUAUAAUGAGUCUUCGAAACUGAGCAAAUGCCUAAUUGAAAACAUAAUUAUUUUUCAAAUAUCUGUCAAGUUCCACUCAUAUUGAAAUAACUUGAGACCUUAUGACUGACGUGGAAAAAAACUGAGUGAAUCAUGGUUUUAAUAAGUUGAUAUUCUGAAGCCCGAAUUCCAAUUUCAGAAUCUUUUUGUACUUUUUAUUAGAAGUAAGAAUCAUCCCUGAAAUGACUCCAGGAUACCUCUCAUAGGUACAGAUUAUUUCAAAGCAAGUGAGACGUACAUGUUGACUUUUUUAAAAAGGCAUUUGAGAGGUGGUCAGGAUGCUUGCACCACCAUAACUGUGGAACUGACAGACUAACUAUAGUGAAAACACCCUGCAGAUGUGCUAAAUAUGUCAUCAUCAGUGUUAUCAAUUUGAGUACACUCUUAGCACUCAGAACAAGAACAGUAAGUCAUUUUUUUGCUAAUGUGCAUUUCUUCGUAACGCGUAAAACCGCCGCUAUUUUCUGCUUCAUGAUCUGAGAUACUGAGAAAACUAAAAAUCUUAAGCAGCAAGUGGAUGUUUUCAGAAAUGCUUUUGUUUGUGUAAAUGUGUAAACUGAAUGUCCUGUCGAUGGAGUUGAUGACCAGGUUGGAGUAGAGAAAGAAAGCACUGGGCUCACUCACUGACAUGGGUUUGAGCCCAGGUCCGCCUAGGGUAACAUAGGGUGUGAUAUGUAAAUCACCUAACCUCUCUUAAAAUUUUAUCUUCUAUCUGUAAAAUGGGCUGAUGAUAUCUAACCUAUUUCCAGAUUCCUUUUUUGGUGAAUUAAUGAAUAACUCUUGGACAGUUCCGUAGGGUUCUUGUGAAAACCAAAUGAACAAGCACUUAGAAGAAUACUGAAUGGAGGCAGAUGUGAAGUGUCAUGGCUAUGUUGGAUCAGGAGCACUCGGAAGGCACGGACCAUGUCUUAAUUCUCUUCCAUUCCUAAGCAUAUAGAAGAGGUCUUGGCACCUAGCAGUCCCUCAGUAAAUAUUUAUUGCAUGAGUGAGCGAGGUCAGGGAGAUAGCAAGUCCAGGCGUGGAAGAGAUACACUGUGAAACAUAGCUAGGAAGCUUACUGCAUAUUGUGUGUAUUAUCAGAGCAAAAGCCUCAUCGUCGUCAUUAAUAUGUAUAAAUCGUGUGUUCGUCUUUCAUCCUGAUAUAAUUCAGCUGGUCCUUUUAAUAUUUCAGCCUCACCCCUUGCUGGGCUGUGACCCUAUUCUUUCUUCUGCUUCCUGACAUCCCGAACCAGAAGCGCAUCUUGUCCUUCACUUCAUGGGGAGCCUUCGGAGGGACUCGUGCAGCUGCCCAGAAAGGAUGCCGCCGGCCAACACAGUGACUGACAGGCUGCCCUGGCUCAGUUAUCACAGUGCUGAUGCUGUCAGUUCUAAAGGUACAGUACUGUGAUAACUGAAGGAUGGCAGCCAACUUGCCUUCCGUCACGGGAGUCCCAUGGUGCGGGAAAGGAAGACAGAGGUGAAAGAGGUGUGUGAAACGGGGCGCGGGCCCUUCCUACCCUAUUUCCAUAUUGUGCCUCCCCUAGAGCAUAGGGAGUUUAUUCCCCCCGUCUUUGCCGUGUUUUGUAACAUGGGGAUAAAGAGGACUUGGCUAGUUGUGUGCACAGGAGUGUGAAGACUGCUGUAGUGAGCAGACAUAUAUUGAGAUCUUCGGAACUUUUAAGAGACUGAUAUUGGGUAAGUACUACGUGUGAAUUAGUAUUUCUGGAAUGAUAUUCAGAGAAAUGUGGGCCAUUUUUGUAACUGUAAAAGGUAACCUGUUUAGAACAGCUCGACACUUGUUAAAAUUAGCUGUUCAAAAUUAAAUUCAACUGAAAUGGGGAGAGAAAAAAGCCCUGCAUGUUGAACAAUAUUGAUAUUAUUGCACGAAUAAAGUGGCAUCUUUGUGUUUAAGGAAUGCAUGGGGACAUGUCCUGUUUCUUUCAGGAACGUAAAAAAUACUUAGAGUCUAGUCUAAUUCAAAAAAUAGUUGAAUACCCAUGUUAUGGCUGCUGCUAUUACCUUUACAUGAAAAUAAAACGUAAAUAAUUGUAUCAAGCAGUUAAGGACCACUCUGCAAUGACAUCUCGAACAAAUUGAUGUCAGGGACAUGAAGCCGUACAUGCCAACCCUACGUCGGGUUUGCAUAGAAGACUAGGAAAUGAACAGAGCAUGCCGUCUUCAGCCCGCAUCCUGCUCCAGAGAGUACUGUUGGGGUGGGGGUGAGGUGAUUAGAGAACCCAGGAUGUCCCGCGUCUGUCCUCCCUUCAGACGCCUCAGGAAGCCGUGCUCGUGGAGCAGCGGCAGACGGGAAUCAAGGUGCGUGACCUCAGUCUGUGUUAGAUCUCAGUCCCCUGCAAGGCUUAGGUAAUUUCCUGUGGUUUAGGCUCAAUGCCUAAACAGAGACCUCUCCCCUCUUCCCAAACUCAUGUCUGUAUCUGGGAGCCUUACCGCCCCGUGGAUGGCUGAUGACUGUAGGAACCCAAAGCAAGCUGAGCUGAGCUCAGGCCCUGCUUGGACCUGCCUACCGCAGGCCAAGAAGAGCCAGGGAAGGGAAAACCCUAUGUAUGACCUUUUAAUGUUCAGAAACUUUACCCCAAAUCAAUGCAGCCUGGUCGAGAUCUCAGACUUGGGCCAUUUGUGUUACCAAGAGAGUGAAGGAAAAGGGACUGGAGGCGAGUAGAGAAGCCCAGCCUGCCUCCCCAUCCGGAGAAGAUCAGUCUGCCCUUCACGUAUGAGCUCAGGUGUUCCUGGUCACUGUGUGUGGUCGCCACUUCACACAAUUCUCUGUAGCCUCUCUUCCCUCCCCUUCUCCACCCGAAGAGGGACCAUUCCUAGGAGUGACCACUUGAGCCACACCUUCUUGGCCCUGGAUCAUUGUUUUCCACGUGGCAGUGACCACAUGAUAGCCCAGGACCUUCCCGUGCCUUCGUACAUUCAGAAUUUCUCUAAACUUCAGGCUGGACAGUGAUUAAUAACAGGGAUGGGUGGCUCUGCCCUGUUCCAUGUUAUACCACCAGGCCUGAAAUUCCUCAGCGUUUUCUGCUCCUUUAAACAGAAAAGGAAUUUCUGAUGGAAACCCUGGAAGAACUUCUGAGAGGGGAAAGUUCUGGGAUUGGUGAAUUCUCCAGUAACUUGAAACACUCCUAAGUUUUAGUGUUAUAGCAGGUGGAAAAAAAAGUACUCCAGGGAGGGAUGUGUUGUGCAAUCGUUGGCCUUGGUGAGAAUUUCAGCACCUUCCCCGAUCUUCCUGUUUUCCCGUUACUAGUUUCAUAAAAAUUCAGGUUUUGUACUUAGCCGGCCC
rnacentral:lncRNA from 1 species